UCAAGAUAGCAUGAUAAUGGUGGAGGGAUAUACAUCUAGGUCAAUGGAACAAAAUAAGAGAGCCCAAAAAUAGAUCCACACAAGCAAGUCCAACUGGUUUUUGACAAAAGGAUAAAAGUGGAGGAAAAGACAGCCUUUUCAACAAAUGGUGCUGGAUCAACUGGACAUCAAUAAGCAAAAAGAGAAAUCACUUACCCUAAAGAUAGGUGAACCGAAUCUAUGUCCUGGCAGUGAUAUUAUACUGUACUUUUAUAAGAUACUGACAUUAGAGAAAACUGGGUGAAGGGUAUGCAAUAUCUCACUGUAUUAUUCCUUAAAACUGCAUGUGAACCUAUAACUACUUGAAUGAAAAAUUCGAUUUUAAAAUGUUGAAAAUAGGAGACAAGGCUUUGGAAAUCACUCCCAUGAUAUCCUUGUUUGUACAAAUAAAGCUGACUUUGUGAAAGUGAGAGAGAGAGAAGAAAAGAUGAAAAUAUUUUCUCCUAGUCUAACUUUAUGUAUUUAUUUUUGGUUGUCAAAUGAUCCUUUAUUGAAAUAUUUUCCUUUGUAGUUCCUAACUAGCUGAACAUUCCUCUGCACCACUGUCAUGUCAUCUAUGAUGUCAGGAGGGUGGUGGCCAUCAAUAUUGCAGCCCACAGACUGAGUAGUCCCCAAGAUGUCUUUAAUGGUUCCAGAGAGCUCUCUAACUACCGAACGGUGCUGCAUCUGUUGGCCAAUGGUGACAAUCUCAUCAAAAGUGAUAUUUUCACCGUGUUUAAUGUUUUUUUUUUCUGUCUCUUGGUGGUUCCUCAAUAAUCAAGACAGGCAGAACGCUUAAUUGAUAUGACAAGAAAAGAGAAAUUAAACAUCAUGAAUAGAAUGGAAAAAGCAUAUGUGUACGUAGCUGCUCAUGAAGGAGGGAGAUAAGAUUCUAUAAAGCCAGGGUAAGCCAGCUGCCACAUCAAACAAAUCCAUAGAAGAGUCUCAUGUGGAGAAGAAUCAAGGCCUCCCACCAGUAGCCAAGCCCAAACUGCCAGUCCUGUGGACCAACUUGAAAGCACAUUCUCCAGCCCCAGUCAAGCCUUCAUAUGACUACAGAGCCAACUGAUAACUACAACCUCACAAGAGACCCUGAGCCAGAACUACCCAGUGAAGCCAACCCUGAAUCCCUGACUCACAAGAACCUGUCAAACUCAGACAAUGCCUCUGACUGUGAGAUAAAGAGGUUCUGGAGGUGGACCAGUGAUUUCCAGAGCUCUGGCCUGGAGAAAUAACCACAGAAUGGGUAAGCUCCAAAGAACAGCUUUGCAAGCAGAUACUGAGGGACUUUGGUCAAUACCAUCCAACCUUUGGGGAGACCCAUAAACCUCAGGUCUCCUGGAGUUAGCUGGAAGACAAAGAAGCACCCACUAGCUUGAGAAAUCCUGAGGCUUCAUUUGUUUAAACAGACCACAUAAUAAAUCAGAAAGAUGGUAGUUAAGAAAAUAAAGUCAGAAAUCUGAGGCAGUGCAGUCUGAAAGACUGUCUCCUGUGGCGGCGUCAGUGUGGCUCAG